AAGCCUGUUACCAGGCAACGGCUCUCCCAUUGGAUUGUGGAAGCGAUUGCUCUGGCUUAUAUGAGUCAGGGUUUGCAGGCACCAACGGGCCUGCGUGCUCAUUCUACUCGUGGUCUGACUACAUCCUGGGCUUUGUUCAAGGGUGUUUCCAUCCAAGACAUUUGUGCAGCAGCGAGCUGGUCCUCGCCGCUGACUUUUGUCCGCUUUUACAGGCUAGAUGUGUAAGGAUUUGCAGUACUCCCUCCUUCUGCUUCCCUUUUUGUUUGCUGUCUGUCUGUCUGUGUUUGUCUCCCGGGCUGGGCGUGGCUGACCUACUUCUGGUUCCUGCCAAUUCAUCUCCGCAGCUGCUUCUCAUUCAUCCUGAUCAUCUACUCAUCCACACCUGCUUAUUAACCCGGUCUCCUCAUCCAGUCUUCACCAGUUCGUUGUCAAGAUUACACUGAACCCAUCAUCACCUCCUCCGCUAGCCACGUCCAGCCACUUCCUCGUCGGAUUCAUCCGCUCUCCAUGCAACCAGCUCCAGCCUGCUCGCUCCCCUCAGCUCUGAAACCCCUGCUCGCCACACUCCUGUCCGGUAGGACAAACCCUAACUCCUGCUCCAACCUACUCGCUCUCGGGAGCGUAAAGACACAGGCUCAACCCACCUUUCAUCUGCCUGGCGAUAAUCCCCAGCUCACUCCGGAGCCUCGGCUGAGGAUCCCCAUUCCCUCGCUUUUUAAUCCCCUUUCCUGGACUAUAUUAACAACAGUUAGUAUCCCCUGUCACGAUUUGUAAUUAAAACCUUUUGCUGCUAA